rnacentral:rRNA from 1 species
GGGUUGUGAGGUUAAGCGACUAAGCGUACACGGUGGAUGCCCUGGCAGUCAGAGGCGAUGAAGGACGUGCUAAUCUGCGAUAAGCGUCGGUAAGGUGAUAUGAACCGUUAUAACCGGCGAUUUCCGAAUGGGGAAACCCAGUGUGUUUCGACACACUAUCAUUAACUGAAUCCAUAGGUUAAUGAGGCGAACCGGGGGAACUGAAACAUCUAAGUACCCCGAGGAAAAGAAAUCAACCGAGAUUCCCCCAGUAGCGGCGAGCGAACGGGGAGCAGCCCAGAGCCUGAAUCAGUGUGUGUGUUAGUGGAAGCGUCUGGAAAGGCGCGCGAUACAGGGUGACAGCCCCGUACACAAAAAUGCACAUGCUGUGAGCUCGAUGAGUAGGGCGGGACACGUGGUAUCCUGUCUGAAUAUGGGGGGACCAUCCUCCAAGGCUAAAUACUCCUGACUGACCGAUAGUGAACCAGUACCGUGAGGGAAAGGCGAAAAGAACCCCGGCGAGGGGAGUGAAAAAGAACCUGAAACCGUGUACGUACAAGCAGUGGGAGCACGCUUAGGCGUGUGACUGCGUACCUUUUGUAUAAUGGGUCAGCGACUUAUAUUCUGUAGCAAGGUUAACCGAAUAGGGGAGCCGAAGGGAAACCGAGUCUUAACUGGGCGUUAAGUUGCAGGGUAUAGACCCGAAACCCGGUGAUCUAGCCAUGGGCAGGUUGAAGGUUGGGUAACACUAACUGGAGGACCGAACCGACUAAUGUUGAAAAAUUAGCGGAUGACUUGUGGCUGGGGGUGAAAGGCCAAUCAAACCGGGAGAUAGCUGGUUCUCCCCGAAAGCUAUUUAGGUAGCGCCUCGUGAAUUCAUCUCCGGGGGUAGAGCACUGUUUCGGCAAGGGGGUCAUCCCGACUUACCAACCCGAUGCAAACUGCGAAUACCGGAGAAUGUUAUCACGGGAGACACACGGCGGGUGCUAACGUCCGUCGUGAAGAGGGAAACAACCCAGACCGCCAGCUAAGGUCCCAAAGUCAUGGUUAAGUGGGAAACGAUGUGGGAAGGCCCAGACAGCCAGGAUGUUGGCUUAGAAGCAGCCAUCAUUUAAAGAAAGCGUAAUAGCUCACUGGUCGAGUCGGCCUGCGCGGAAGAUGUAACGGGGCUAAACCAUGCACCGAAGCUGCGGCAGCGACACUAUGUGUUGUUGGGUAGGGGAGCGUUCUGUAAGCCUGCGAAGGUGUGCUGUGAGGCAUGCUGGAGGUAUCAGAAGUGCGAAUGCUGACAUAAGUAACGAUAAAGCGGGUGAAAAGCCCGCUCGCCGGAAGACCAAGGGUUCCUGUCCAACGUUAAUCGGGGCAGGGUGAGUCGACCCCUAAGGCGAGGCCGAAAGGCGUAGUCGAUGGGAAACAGGUUAAUAUUCCUGUACUUGGUGUUACUGCGAAGGGGGGACGGAGAAGGCUAUGUUGGCCGGGCGACGGUUGUCCCGGUUUAAGCGUGUAGGCUGGUUUUCCAGGCAAAUCCGGAAAAUCAAGGCUGAGGCGUGAUGACGAGGCACUACGGUGCUGAAGCAACAAAUGCCCUGCUUCCAGGAAAAGCCUCUAAGCAUCAGGUAACAUCAAAUCGUACCCCAAACCGACACAGGUGGUCAGGUAGAGAAUACCAAGGCGCUUGAGAGAACUCGGGUGAAGGAACUAGGCAAAAUGGUGCCGUAACUUCGGGAGAAGGCACGCUGAUAUGUAGGUGAAGUCCCUUGCGGAUGGAGCUGAAAUCAGUCGAAGAUACCAGCUGGCUGCAACUGUUUAUUAAAAACACAGCACUGUGCAAACACGAAAGUGGACGUAUACGGUGUGACGCCUGCCCGGUGCCGGAAGGUUAAUUGAUGGGGUCAGCGCAAGCGAAGCUCUUGAUCGAAGCCCCGGUAAACGGCGGCCGUAACUAUAACGGUCCUAAGGUAGCGAAAUUCCUUGUCGGGUAAGUUCCGACCUGCACGAAUGGCGUAAUGAUGGCCAGGCUGUCUCCACCCGAGACUCAGUGAAAUUGAACUCGCUGUGAAGAUGCAGUGUACCCGCGGCAAGACGGAAAGACCCCGUGAACCUUUACUAUAGCUUGACACUGAACAUUGAGCCUUGAUGUGUAGGAUAGGUGGGAGGCUUUGAAGUGUGGACGCCAGUCUGCAUGGAGCCGACCUUGAAAUACCACCCUUUAAUGUUUGAUGUUCUAACGUGGACCCGUGAUCCGGGUUGCGGACAGUGUCUGGUGGGUAGUUUGACUGGGGCGGUCUCCUCCUAAAGAGUAACGGAGGAGCACGAAGGUUGGCUAAUCCUGGUCGGACAUCAGGAGGUUAGUGCAAUGGCAUAAGCCAGCUUGACUGCGAGCGUGACGGCGCGAGCAGGUGCGAAAGCAGGUCAUAGUGAUCCGGUGGUUCUGAAUGGAAGGGCCAUCGCUCAACGGAUAAAAGGUACUCCGGGGAUAACAGGCUGAUACCGCCCAAGAGUUCAUAUCGACGGCGGUGUUUGGCACCUCGAUGUCGGCUCAUCACAUCCUGGGGCUGAAGUAGGUCCCAAGGGUAUGGCUGUUCGCCAUUUAAAGUGGUACGCGAGCUGGGUUUAGAACGUCGUGAGACAGUUCGGUCCCUAUCUGCCGUGGGCGCUGGAGAACUGAGGGGGGCUGCUCCUAGUACGAGAGGACCGGAGUGGACGCAUCACUGGUGUUCGGGUUGUCAUGCCAAUGGCACUGCCCGGUAGCUAAAUGCGGAAGAGAUAAGUGCUGAAAGCAUCUAAGCACGAAACUUGCCCCGAGAUGAGUUCUCCCUGACCCUUUAAGGGUCCUGAAGGAACGUUGAAGACGACGACGUUGAUAGGCCGGGUGUGUAAGCGCAGCGAUGCGUUGAGCUAACCGGUACUAAUGAACCGUGAGGCUUAACCUUACAACGCCGAAGCUGUU